GCCAAGGGAAAGAUUAUAAAUAAAUUCAGAGGUGCUGAAUUCAUUUACUGUCAGGCUGUUUUGGCUUUUUCAAGUUCUAGUUCUUGUGUGGUUUCUGUGUGAGUGGAAGCUCCUGAUUUAGAUUCUGACUUACGGCAUCUUUUUUUGUUAAAGAAUUAAUUUUUUGAUGUGGACCACUUUUAAAGUCUUUACCGAAUUUGUUACAGUAUUGUUUCUGUUUUGUGUUUUGGCUUUUUGGACGUGAGGUGUGUGGGGUCUCAGCUCCCGGACCAGGGACGGAACCUGCAAUCUUUGCGUUGAAAGGUCUCCUCUUAACCUCGAGACCGCCAGGGACGUCCUCGGUUAGUUCUCAAGAACUCCUACGGCCCAUCUUUUCCCAGACAAAAUAUCCAUUCUCUCUAGGGAAACAUACCUCAGCAGAAGAUUGGGAGGACCAAGCCAGGGUCUGAAAAUCUAACAUCCUUGGUAAGAUAAAAUUGCAGGCCACAGUUCAGCAAAUGGGACUUCCUAUUUGUGUAACCAUCAGGUUGUAAUUGAAAGAUGCUGACCAGGGCGUGCGCAGGCCAUUAACAGAGGAAGCUGGAAAUGAGACAUCCUGUCUGAUGCAACCGUCCGGACACCCAAUAUGGUUGACCGUGACACCCAACUGCCUAUAAUUAGAGUGAUUACUAGUGUUUCGGCACUCGGAAUGAGAGCUGGGAAAGAAUAGACCCGCGAUGGGUAAAUGUACGUGGCAGUCUGUGGUUAAAGGGGAGAGGAGGAGCUCUGAGAGCAGGUCGUUUCCCCGGGCUGAGGCCGAAGUACCGUUUCAACGUGCAAAUUUAAUAACGUCUUCUGCGGAAAAGUGAGGAAAUACAUGAAGAGUCUGGGAAGGUGGACCUUCAAGGGUAUCGAAAGGGAAUUCUGCACGAUGUCAUGGCGUCAAUUCCAGUCUCCUGAUGAGGGAUGGAAACUACAGCCCAGCGCUGGAAGCAUGGAGUCUUAACCACUGGACAGCCAGGGACGUCCCAGCUUCGUUUCUUGGUUGACAUGAAGAUGGCAUGUUAAUGAAUAAAUCAUUUCUUACCUUAUCC
ensembl:lncRNA